rnacentral:tRNA from 1 species
AAAAAUAUGUUUUUAUAUAAUAUUAGUCUUUAAUUUUUUUAAUAUUUUUUGUAUUUUUCUAUUUUGUAAAAAAAUGAUUGUUUAAAAAAACAAUAAAAUUAUUUAUAAUAAUAUUUGAAAAAGUAUUUAAAAUAAAUUUAUAUUUAUUAGAUAAUUGUUUUUGAAAAAAAAAAAAAACUAAUUUUUGUAUUUUUAAUAAUCUUAUUUUUA